UACGAAGGGGGCUAGCGUUGCUCGGAAUUACUGGGCGUAAAGAGUGCGUAGGUAGUUUGUUAAGUCUGCUGUGAAAUCCCCGGGCUCAACCUGGGAAUGGCAGUGGAUACUGGCAAGCUAGAGUGCGGUAGAGGGUAGUGGAAUUCCCGGUGUAGCAGUGAAAUGCGUAGAGAUCGGGAGGAACACCAGUGGCGAAGGCGGCUACCUGGACCAGCACUGACACUGAAGCACGAAAGCGUGGGGAGCAAACAGG
rnacentral:rRNA from 1 species